UGUGUACUCCCUCCAUUCCAAAAUACUUGACUUCCAUUUGUCCAAAAAUGGAUGUACCUAUAUACUAAAACAUGUCUAGAUACAUCUAUACUUUGACAAAUAGAAGGCAUGUAUUGUGGAUCGGAGGGAGUAGAAU
rfam:Triticum aestivum genome assembly, contig: Triticum_aestivum_CS42_TGACv1_scaffold_328073_4BS